AUGGGCUGAUUUUGGUUUCUAGCAGGAGAAUAAGUUGACCAGCAUUCACUCAUUAGCAAGAUGGAUCAUGCAAGCAGACUAUGAUUUCAAAAGUCCUCAGAGUAUCUGCAAAGAGAUCCUUUUGCUGCAAAUCCUCUGUUUCGAAGUGCAAACUUUGCAUCCCACAGUGGUCCAGGCACGAUGCACGUUUGUUCCUCUGUAUGUUACAGGUCUGCAAACUGACGUGAAGAAAAUCCAGUCAAGGCAAGUGAUUGAGUUUGGUGUCCUUUCUCUGACAGCAGACAGUGAGAUGGACUCUAGGAAACGUAGAGCAAGAUAACGGGGCCUGAGGAUGAAUCCCAGUACUGUCUGAAGAAAGGAUGUUUAAGGGAUAACCCACUUCACAGAUGCAAGGAAGGGGAGCAGCGUUUAGAAGGAAUUGAAGCAAAGCAGAAGAGAAAGCUGCUGAAAGCAAAAAUAUUGUCCCAGAAAGUGUUUUAAUGGAUUCAAUUCUCACCCUCAUUCUUCUUGAGCAUUCAUUCGCUGUUCAAUGUGUGAGUACAAAAAAUGUAUUUUUCUUAUUCUGACAUACAUUUCCAAAGCAGCCCUGUUCCUUGAGUGCUGGAUGCUAUUGGAGAAACUCAUAGAAUCAUAGAACGGCCUAGGCUGGAAACAUCCUCAAAGGUCAUCCAGUCCCAACCCGGGGCCAUGGGCAGGAUUACCACCUUCCAGAUCAGGCAGCCCAGGGCCCCAUCCAACCUGGCCUUGAGCACCUCCAGAGAUGGAGCACCCACAGCUUCUCUGGGCUUUUCAUCCGGCUUCUCAUUUUGCAAUGAGAGAAUUUUUCACCCUAGAUUUUGUCCACGAGUUCCAGAGCAGAUGUUUUCUUAAAGAGCCAACAAAGAAGCCAUCACACACCACUUCCACAGUCAUCUCAGCCAAGAGUUACGACUUCAUCUUUGUGUAAACAGUGUCAAUUGGACCUCUAUUAUACUCCUUCUCCUCUCUGACCAUGUGAAAACAAAAUGCUGACAGCAAAAUUCUGCUCUUUACAACACAUACAACAAAAAUGGCCAGAAAUUAAUGAUGGCUAUCUGGCUUAAUGCACAAACCCAACAUGUUCGAAGCUGCUUCUUGUAUAUUUUGGCCUUGAUUUUGCAAACAAAACGCCAGCAAUAGCCAAGUGAAAACAGAGCAAACAGAGCAGAAAAGGCUGUCUCACCCUUGGUGACAGUCGGUCAUUGGACUGGCUUCUUGCACAAUGAGGGAUUCUUGCAGCGUGGCUGCCAACCCCAUCCAUGUCAGACCUUUCCCUCCCUGAUCAAAGGCUUUGGCUGAUGUAAGUCAUGAUGUUUCACUGAACCUGAGUGACCGAGGAGAGAAAGGACAAGAGGUGUUUUAUCCAGGCUGGGACCUGAUCUCCAGCAGAGGGGAAACAUUCACCCAGCUGGGAGGAGGAGAUGUUUAUUAUUAGGCCGUGUAAAAGUUAGCUACAAUACAGAGCCAAUUCACAGGAGCAAUAAUUCCUGGUCAAAACCUUAGCCAGUUUAGAUUGAUUAUGUAUUUUUUUUAUGCUGUCUUACAUCAGUAGGAGGAUCUAAACAUUUUGGUUUGUUGUAAGAUGUUGGAGAAACUCAGUUCAACACGUGCCAUACCCAAGGGUCUCCUUAAAAUAGCAACAUUACAAAGGCUUCUUUUAGUGCUGCAUUCCUUCUGGGUUCAUUAUACACACAUUCAUGGAUACAAUCUGAAAGAAAAACAAAACAAAACUUAGAUGUCCAAAUUACCUUUGCCUUGACAUAAAGAGAUGCCUGGAACAGAUCUGCUGGAGAAUGGAGUCCUGUGCCCCCCAGUGGGAAGAGACCGGACAAACAACAGCAGACGUCUGGAUGUGCAGAAGAGCUCAUUCCCCUCUCAAAGGUCUGCAGAGAGGGGGAAGAGUUGCCUUGUAACCCUGGCUGAGAGAAUACACAAUGUCUGGGGAUGAAUAGAGAUAAUAAAAGCAUUUUCCUGGGGCACUGCCCCCCAAAAAUGAGCAAACUCAGCUGUUUUGUGUUUGACCUCGCAUAAAUCCGGAUUUCCAAUGGCGGUAGGACCUAAAAGCGGAGGGCUUGAUCCUCAGCACCCAAUGAGUCAGGCAGAGAGAGAGAUCCUUUUCAUGUGGGGAAAGAACUGGGCAGUUUGCUUGGGAAGAGAAGUGCUGGAAUGAUGCAAAUUGGGAAAUUCUCACAUGCUUUCCUCUGGUGCCUGACUGAGAGCCCCAGCCAUGGUUUAGGCCUUAAGUUGAUUCAGGGGAGGUUCAGAUUGGAUGUUAGGAAACAUUUCUUCUCCAAAAGAGUGGCAAUGCAGUGGCACAGCUGCCCAGGGAGGUGGUGGGGUCACCAGCCCUGGAGGUGUUCCUGAACCAUGGAGAUGUGGCACUGAGGGAUGUGGGCAAUGGGCAUGGUGGGGUGGGUUGGGGUUGGUGAUCUCAGAGGUCUUUUCCAAACCUUAAUGAUUCCAUGAUUGUGUGAUUCACUGUGUCUUUAGAGGGCCCUCAGUCAUACAGUCCAACUGCUCAGCUCCCACAAGCCUGCUCUGCCCACCUUAUCUGGCCUCACUCCUAUCUUGCACUGAGUGCCAUGAGAGCUGGGUUACAUCCUCUACUUGAAGAAACUCCUCUUUAGAGCUGCAUUUGAUGCUCAUGACUCCAAAGACCUGCAGCCCUUGCAACUCCUAUCUUCCCAGAAAGGAGCAACGAAGCAAACGCAGACUGCUGCAAUUGGAUUUGGGGAAUCCUGUGGUGUUGGGUUUACAUUGUUUGAAGAUAACAGGGAUCCAGAAUAACAUCUGCCAUAUUCUUGGUGGCCAUAAGAGUGGGGCUCUGCUGGGCCAACUUUGAGCUGGGGUUGGAGGGAGGGAAAAGUUUCCUUCUUGCACAGCUUCAGCAGUUCAGCAGUAUCUGCCCUUAAUCAUUAAAUGAUUGGAUGGAGAAAUUACCAGCAUAAAGGCAUCCCUGGCCCAGUCCCAGCACACGAGGGACUGGAUACAAAGGGGUGACCAAAGUCUGGAUGUCUCUUAAACCAGAUCAGAUCCUGCUUUAUUUGCAUCACCACCCAGUAGCAGCAGGAGGUGGGGAGCAAUGCAAUAUAUGAGGCGUUCUCUUGCUCCUUCCCUCUUUCCCACCCAAAAAAUAAUAAUAAAUUUAAAAAAAACAGCAAAAGAGAUGCUAUGGGACUCAUGAAACUUUGCAGCAGAGUUAUUUUUCUUCCCCCCCUUCUUCUCAGACAGACUAUAGAGCCUCGGGUACACAUUUGCUCAGUUGCCUAUACUUAAACACGCACAGACGCUCAGCUCCCACCAGGGAUGGAGGCUGUCCCACCCCUUUGGUUGAGCAGAUUGGAGAGAAGUGAGCCAACAGCCCCCCCAAAAUGAAAUGAAAUGAAAUAAAGCAGCAGAGGUGGAAAUACCUUCCCCAGGAUUCCCCCAGGAUCCCCUCUCAGGAACCCCCUUUUUGAGCCCACCUCCCUCAAUAAAUGUAUUUUUAAUCCCUAUGUGGGACAUAAAUUUGGGAACAGCGUGGAUGAGGGGCAGUGGGACAGACUGAUGGCGUUGGGGUGGAUGGGGAGGGGGGGUUGGCUUCGUGGCUUUUAAAUCCUUUCUCCCAACCCUUCGCGUGGGUGCCCCCUUCAGCACGCAUUGCCCAACCGGAGCGCAGGGGGUGGGACGGGGGGUGGGAUGCGGUGCGGUGCGGUGCGGUGGGAGGGCUGCGGGAUGACCCCGUGCCUCGCAGCCCGUCGGUCAAAGGCUGAGUACGGCUGAUCAAUGGGGGCCAACCCCUGGGGGGGGGAAGGGGGAGGGGGGCUUUUAUACCUACCCUUCUCCCCCCGCGGUGCGGAGAUCUGUCGGGGCUGGCAGGGAGAGGCAGAGGGCUCGCAAGGAGGAGGAGGAG
rnacentral:lncRNA from 1 species